AGUAUAGCAUACGUGUUUGCCUG
rnacentral:piRNA from 1 species